CAUUAAAUUACUACUUUUUCCUUUCCAUGAAAACACAUGUCAGUAUCACUACUAAAACACGUGUACUAAGAAAAUGCACAAAAGAUAGCUCCAGCCCCCUCUGCUUGACAACUAUGCAAAACCAAAGUUCAACUCCUCUCCGACCCUCAAAGACUUUGUCGAGUCACCGGAGGUUUCAUCGAAGCGGUGAAAAUAGGUACACUCCGUCUCUCUCCAGAAACAAUCGGUGAAGACAUUGCAAAGAAAACUAGGACGGCGGUGAUAAGCCAAGCCUUGAUUCCGACGAGUUGUUCAUCUUCCCCCAGACUUUAACUUCUCCAACAACUAACACUACAAUUAAUAAGUAUUUGGGGAGUCUUCUUUGACCUCCUCUUUAAUACUCUUUCGGUUGAGUUUGAAAUUUAGUUAUUUAUGUUCAAUGUCAGAUCCAUAUUUGUUGUUGCAUAUGGUAUUUCUGUACAAAUUAGAGAAAUUAAUAUUUUAACCUUAGGUUUAAAAUUGUGGCUUUUUAGAAAUUGGGGGAUUUUAGAAUCGAACUGAUCUCUAAAAUGCAGACAGUUUUAUUUGGAGUUCAAAGGCAACAAAUGGAGUAGAACUACAAUGAAGCUGCUUGAUAGAGGACGAUUUAUUUAGCGAGAUAAUGAAUUUAAUUUUCACUUCAUGAUAUUUCAUUAAUUAGGAUAUCAAUUUUUGGUCUAAUUCUCCUUUAUUUU